UACGUAGGGAGCAAGCGUUGUCCGGAAUCAUUGGGCGUAAAGCGCGCGUAGGUGGCCCCGUAAGUCCGCUGUGAAAGUCAAAGGCUCAACCUUUGAAAGCCGGUGGAUACUGUGGGACUAGAGUACGGAAGAGGCGAGUGGAAUUCCUGGUGUAGCGGUGGAAUGCGCAGAUAUCAGGAGGAACACCGGUGGCGAAAGCGGCGCGCUGGACCUCUUCUGACGCUGAGGCGCGAAAGCCAGGGGAGCAAACGGG
rnacentral:rRNA from 1 species